GGAGGCAGCAGUAAGGAAUAUUGGUCAAUGGAGGCAACUCUGAACCAGCCAUGCCGCGUGCAGGAAGACUGCCCUAUGGGUUGUAAACUGCUUUUAUCCGGGAAUAAACCACAUUACGUGUAGUGUGCUGAAUGUACCGGAAGAAUAAGGAUCGGCUAACUCCGUGCCAGCAGCCGCGGUAAUACGGAGGAUCCAAGCGUUAUCCGGAUUUAUUGGGUUUAAAGGGUGCGUAGGCGGCCUGUUAAGUCAGGGGUGAAAGACGGUAGCUCAACUAUCGCAGUGCCCUUGAUACUGAUGGGCUUGAAUGGACUAGAGGUAGGCGGAAUGAGACAAGUAGCGGUGAAAUGCAUAGAUAUGUCUCAGAACACCGAUUGCGAAGGCAGCUUACUAUGGUCUUAUUGACGCUGAGGCACGAAAGCGUGGGGAUCAAACAGGAUUAGAUACCCUGGUAGUCCACGCCCUAAACGAUGAACACUCGCUGUUGGCGAUACACAGUCAGCGGCUAAGCGAAAGCGUUAAGUGUUCCACCUGGGGAGUACGCCCGCAAGGGUGAAACUCAAAGGAAUUGACGGGGGCCCGCACAAGCGGAGGAGCAUGUGGUUUAAUUCGAUGAUACGCGAGGAACCUUACCCGGGCUUGAAAGUUAGUGAAUGAUCUAGAGAUAGAUCAGUCCGCAAGGACACGAAACUAGGUGCUGCAUGGCUGUCGUCAGCUCGUGCCGUGAGGUGUUGGGUUAAGUCCCGCAACGAGCGCAACCCCUAUGUUUAGUUGCCAGCACGUUAUGGUGGGGACUCUAAACAGACUGCCUGUGCAAAC
rnacentral:rRNA from 1 species